rnacentral:sRNA from 1 species
AUUUAGCCGUGAUAGCAGUGGAAAGCAAAUCGUUUCCAAAUGAUACCUUUACUUAUAAAAAAAGAGCAACUGUAAAGAAGCUCCUUUUUUUAUGUAGUAAUGUAAUUUGGAAACGAUUUCUUGAAUCGGAUAGCGCGAAAAGCU